rnacentral:rRNA from 1 species
UACGAAGGGGGCUAGCGUUGCUCGGAAUCACUGGGCGUAAAGGGCGCGUAGGCGGCCAUUCAAGUCAGGGGUGAAAGCCUGAAGCUUAACUUCAGAACUGCCUUUGAUACUGUUUGGCUUGAGACCGGAAGAGGUAAGUGGAACUGCGAGUGUAGAGGUGAAAUUCGUAGAUAUUCGCAAGAACACCAGUGGCGAAGGCGGCUUACUGGUCCGGUUCCGACGCUGAGGCGCGAAAGCGUGGGGAGCGAACAGG